CCAUGACAGAAACAGAGUCACCGUCCGAUUAAAAUGUAUCCGUUGCGAUACAUAGUUAAAAGCAUAUAUCUGAGAUUCUGAGGCAACGUUUCCACAGUUUCUCUUUUUUUUUCUUAUUUUCACGGUUUCUCGUUUCUUAGGGUUUUCUCCGAAAAAAUAUAUUUCUCGAAAUUUUGUGGAGAUAAACUCUUCCGUCGAAGAUUUCUACAAGCAGAGAAGUUCACGACAUCCGUAAAACAUGAUCCCGGAAAGCAUUUGAAUUGGAAUCGUUGAGAAUGUGGAGAAAUCAUCAUUGAAGACAAGUGCGAAUCUUUGAGUUGAACUUACGGCUUAAGAAGUGGCAACAUAAAACAGAUAAGUUCUUCCACUUCUUUAUGUCUUUAAGUUUUUGUUUUUUAGUUUUAUCAAACUCCAAAAAGAUCAUAGGCAGACACUUAUCUAAUAGUGUUUCUGCCAGAUUCUUAUUUUUGGGAACAUUGUCCCGAGUCCCUGUUGCAGUGGAAGCUGCUUAGUCCCAACGGAAAUUUAAAUCCAUCUCCAUAGAAACUGUUGGUUGGUAGUGCAUGAAUGUCUUAAGAGAUGUUUGGGGAUGGAAAGUAAAACACACUUUAGUACCCACGGCUUUAACAAAACAACCAUUGGCUUAAAAGAAAUGUCUUUAGACAGAAAAUGGCUGUCUAUAGCUAUGAAAAUUGAUGGAUCGAUAAGCGACCAUCAACUUACAAAAUAGUCUUAAGACAAAGGCUAUGAGAGUUGGUUUUGUACUUGUUGGAUGGAAAAUAACGACAACAAGUCAUGAAAACUAAGUGUCCCGAGUCCCUGUUGCGUUAAAGCUUAGUCCCAAAGGAAAUUUAAAUCCAUCUCCCUAGAAACUGUUGGUUGGUAGUGCAUGGAUGUCUUAAGAGAUGUUUGGGGAUGGAAAAUAAAACACACCUUAGUACCCACGGCUUUAACAAAACAACCAUCGGCUUAAAAGAAAUGUCUUUAGACAGAAAACGGCUAUGUCUAUAGCUAUGAAACUUGAUGGAUGUAUAAACGACCAUCAGCUUACAAAAUAGUCUUAAGACAAAGGCUAUGAGAGUUGGUUUUGUACUUGUUGGAUGGAAAAUAACGACCACAAGUCAUGAAAACCAAGUGUCCUGAGUCCCUGUUGCGUUAAAGCUUAGUCCCAACGGAAAUUUAAAUCCAUCUCCCUAAAAACUGUUGGUUGGUAGUGCAUGAAUGUCUUAAGAGAUGUUUGGGAAUGGAAAGUAAAACACACCUUAGUACCCACGGCUUUAACAAAACAACCAUCGGCUUAAAAAAAAUGUCUUUAGACAGAAAAUGGCUAUUUCUAUAGCUAUGGAACUUGAUGGAUUAAUAAACGACCAUCGGCUUACAAAAUAGUCUUAAGACAAAGGCUAUGAGAGCUGGUUUUGUGCUUGUUGGAUAGAAAAUAACACACACCAUAGUAGUACCCACGGCUUUACAAAACACAACCAUCGGCUUAAGAAAAAAAAAGAGUUUUUUAGACAGAAAACAACUAUUUCUAUAGCUAUGAAAAUUGAUGGAUGGAUAAACGACCAUCAGCUUACAAAAUAGUCUUAAGACAAAGGCUAUGAGUUGGUUUUGUACUUGUUGGAUGGAAAAUAACAACCACGAGCCAUGAAAACUAACUGUCCCGAGUCCCGUUGUGUGAACUUGUUGGAUGGAAAAUAACGACCACAAGUCACCUUAGUACCCACGGCUUUAACAAAACAACCAUCGGCUUAAAAGAAAUGUCUUUACACAGAAAAUGGCUAUGUCUAUAGCUAUGAAAAUUGAUGGAUGUAUAAACGACCAUCAGCUUACAAAAUAGUCUUAAGACAAAGGCUAUGAGUUGGUUUUGUACUUGUUGGAUGGAAAAUAAUGACCACAUGAAAACUAAGUGUCCCGAGUCCCGUUGCGUGAACUUGUUGGAUGGAAAAUAACGACCACAAGUCAUGAAAAGUAAUGUCUCGAGUCCCGUUGGUAUUGUACGGUUUGAGAGAAGUCUUCAGACAAAGACUCUAAAUCUAAACCCCAGGUCCAUUGCUUAACCACAGCUCUAUGAGCAAAGGAUACUUGAGGAUGCAAAGUGUGAGAAAAUUUAGUACCAACGGCUUAUUAAAAGACAGAGUUUGUGAAUGAAAAUGUCUUCAUCACGUACGUUAGUACCCACGGCUUAUGAACAAGCUUUUAGACAGAGUUUGUAAAACUACCAACGGCUUAAAGACAACUGUUUAGACAGAGAAUGUGAUUGUAAGAAAGUCUUUAGACAGAGACUAUUCAUCACAUUAGUACCCACGGCUUGCAAGAAAGUUUUUUGAUAAAGAGAUUGUAAAACUACCACUGGCUUAAAAAAGACAACUGUUUAGACAGAGAAUGUGAUUGUAAAAAAGUCUUUAGACAGAGACUGUAUUCAUCACAUAGUACCCACGGCUUGCAAGUGAUUGAAUUUGUUAUUGAAUACAUCAUCAGAUUUGUACCCACGGCUUGCAAAAAAGGUCUUCAGUCAAAGACUGUUUUUGAAUACAUCAUCAGAUUUCUAACCACGGCUUUGAAAAAAAGUUAUAGACAAAGGCUAUGAGAUCGUCAUAAUGGCUUUAAAGAAUUUUCAACCGUUUCUUUCUUUUUUUUACUACAAGUUAUCAAUUUUCUCUAUAUCUGAACUUUGCUUUUUCUUUCCAGGUGAAACCGAGUCAUGUUCUUUUAGCUGUCAGACUCUUAAAACUUCAGUUAUCAAAGUGUUAAGUCAGGGGAUAUUGAUCUUUAGGAGUAUCAAGAUGCUGCUAAAGGUUGCAACAUGGACGACACAUAUGAAGUCGAGAAAGCUCCUGCUGCAGCAGAUAAUGGAGCAGCAGGCGUUAGACAACACGAAGAAACUGUAGACAAAGAUAGUUCUGAAUUCCCUGAUAUGAGUACAAAAGAAGCUGGUUCGAUGUACCAUUGAAUCAGCAGAACAAAAAAAAAAGAAAGAAAUACAGUUCGCAAGAACAAGUCAGACUUAAUAUCAAGAAACUCAGAGCCAUUACUGAGGUAAAUCCAAUCCAAAACAUUAGCUGUAGGGAUAUAUUCCUCUUAUUUUACCACUUCCCGGAUACAAAUUCAAUAUAAGGUAACUAUGAAACCUAUUGCAUCAACUAAAGAGUAAACACUAACUUUAAAAUGAUUUCAAAUGUAUCAGAUUUCCUUGACAGGUACUUGCUUUUCAAUACGGUUAUGAAAAUCACAAGUAGGAGAAACAUACAUGAAGUGAACUAGUUACAUUUGUUUAGGUAUGAGCUUCACAAAUUGUUCAUAUCCUCAUUGAUGCUUGUUCAGGUAUAUGUUUACCUUCCCUUUUUCUCUUACAAGUUGAUAUUAUUACGUAUGACUAUAAACCAAGUUAAGUGAAUUUUGCGAACAGGUCAAGAAAUUGGAAAGCUCCAUUUUAAAAUUGUAUAUGUUUUAUUAAGCUAUCUUGACAACAUUUCUCUCACUGAUCUAGCAUCCAUGAGAUUGCUAGAAACUGACUGCUAACAUAUCCACUGAUGAGCAAGUAGAUUCUUUUUUAAUACUGGAACAUUACAUUGUGUUUCAGUGUUUAAUCUCUAUUCUUAAUUUGGUGCUUGUACGUAUGAGAAGGUCUUUUAUUUUUAUAAAAGUUGAUGUAUCUUGUAGAGAAACGUAGGUGAGAAAUUCCUGCAAACUGUCCUAGUAGUUUCUUUGAAUCUUGAAUAUUAUUUCUUUGGGUCAUGCGUUUAACCCUCAUUUGUCAGUCUAAACGUGUUGGAAUCUUCUUAGUUUUGGUGCUUGUAUUAUUGUAUUAUAUGAUCUCUCAUAUUAUGAAAUCGAUGUAUCUUAGAUUCUCUGAUAGAUCAACAUAGGUGAAAGAUUCCAUCAUGUUGUUGUACGUAGUAGUUCUUUUUAAAUCUUGAUGAAUGUUCCUAUUUUGUGUUAUGCUCUUAACCCUCAAUGAUAACUAACUUUAAACGGUGCUUUUAUAUCUUCAGUUUGGUGCUUUUAUAUUGUAGAUCAAACAUGCGAAACUCCUACAGAUUGUGUGAGUAGUUCCCUUGAAUUUUGAAUGUUCUCUGUUUUUGUGUUAUGCUCCUCCUACUCUCAUUGACCAUACUAAUCUGCGUUAGUUAUAUGUAUGUUGCUCAGAGAAAGGUUAUUAUUCUAAAUUAGUUUGGUGCUUCUGUGUAUUAUAGAGUAUCUUGUUUCUUAUAAAGUCACUUAUAGAUCAACGUAUAUGAGAGAGACUCCUGCUGAAUGUGGUCGUAGAUUCCUUAUUUCUUGAAUGGUAACCCUCAGUGACCAUUGUAAACAUGUGAAGUGACAUCUUCACAACUCUGCAUAGUGGGCUAAUGAUUACUGUGUUAGAUUCUAUAAAUUGUAUAUGUUGAAUUGAGCUUUUACAGCGACUGAAAAUUUCUCUGUUAUCAAGUCUAUAUCUUUGUCUCCGAUUCUUAGCAACAUGAACGACACAGAUGAAGUCGAGAAUCCUGGUAGUGAAGAUGCAGAUCAACAGAAGGGUGCAGCCGAUAAAGCUCCUACUGCAGCAGAUAACGGAGCAGCAGGCCUUAGACAACACGAAGAAACUGUAGACAAAGAUAGUUCUGAAUUCCCUGAAAUGAGUACAAAAGAAGCUGAUUCGACGUACCACUGAAUCAGCAGAACCAAAAAAAAAAAAAUAUCAGACUUAAUAUCAAGAAACUCAGAGCCAUUACUGAGGUAAAUCCAAUCCAAAACAUUAGCUGUAGGGAUAUAUUCCUCUUAUUUUACCACUUCCCGGAUACAAAUUCACAAGGUAACUAUGAAGCCUUUUGCAUCAACUAAAGAGUAAACACUAACUUUAAAAUGAUUUCAAAUGUAUCAGAUUUCCUUGUCAGGUAUUUACUUUUCAAUACGGUUAUGAAAAUCACAAGUAGGAGAAACAUAACUAGUUACAUAUGUUUAGGUUGGGCUUCACAAACUGUUCAUAUCCUCAUUGACGCUUGUUCAGGUCAAGAAAUUGGAAAGCUCCAUUUUAAAAUUGUAUAUGUUUUAUUAAGCUAUCUUGACAAUGUUUCUCUAACUGAUCUAGCAUCCAUGAGAUUCUACAAACUGACUGCUAACAUAUCCACUGAUGAGCAAGUAGAUUCUUUUUUUUUAAUAUUGGAAUAUUACAUUGUGUUUCAGUGUUUAAUCUCUUUUAUUAAUUUGGUGCUUGUACGUAUGAGAAGGUCUUUUAUUUUAUGAAACUGAGAUGUAACGUAGGUGAGAAACUCCUGCAAAUUGUGAUAGUAGUUUCUUUGGAUCUUGAAUGUUUUUUAUUUAGGUCAUGCGUUUAACCCUCAUUUGUCAGUCCAAACGUGUUAGAAUCUUCUUAUUUUUGGUGCUUGUAUGUAUUAUAUGAUCUCUCCUUUUAUGAAAUCGAUGUAUCUUAGAUUC